GGACUUUGGACUUGGCUCCGUUGCACCCCUGAACGGAGGAGGAGACUCACCUUGACAUUAUGUCGUAAUCAGUAAGCAGGUUACGGCAAUCAGGACUAUAAUCAUAUUAACAGCACGGGUGAUUCCUUUACUUCAAACAUCUCCUCUCAACCACGGUGCCUAUCUUUACUCGGUAUUAGGCUCCCUUCCUGAUGAGAUUUGACUCUGGGCAACAUUGAGUGAGACUUUCCUUAGCCCAGAAAAUAUAACUUGAGCUGGCAGUUCAGAUGUGUAUAGAGCAUACAAAAAUCUAUUUACUGUUGAAAGCGCACAGAUUUUCAGUUAAUUCCCAAAUCACU
rnacentral:lncRNA from 1 species